GAUGAACGCUAGCGGCAGGCCUAAUACAUGCAAGUCGAGGGGCAGCGCGGUAGCAAUACUGGCGGCGACCGGCGCACGGGUGCGUAACGCGUGGGAAUCUGCCCUUGAGUUCGGAAUAACAGUUAGAAAUAGACUGCUAAUACCGGAUGAUGUCUUCGGACCAAAGAUUUAUCGCCCAGGGAUGAGCCCCGCGUAGGAUUAGGUAGUUGGUGGGGUAAAGGCCUACCAAGCCGACGAUCCUUAGCUGGUCUGAGAGGAUGAUCAGCCACACUGGGACUGAGACACGGCCCAGACUCCUACGGGAGGCAGCAGUGGGGAAUAUUGCGCAAUGGGCGAAAGCCUGACGCAGCGACGCCGCGUGGGUGAUGAAGGCCUCGGUCGGUUAAA
rnacentral:rRNA from 1 species